AUCAAAUUUCAAGUUUAAUUUUAAGAUAUUCAUUAUAAUUAUACUAAUCACUACUUAUAUUUAAUUUUAAUUUAAAUUGAUUGACUCAUUUCGAUAGGUAUCACUGUAAAAACUUAAUUACUUAUUAUAUGAUUUUGAUAAAAUACUCUUCAUUUUUGUAAAAUUUAUUUGGGUCUAUGGUUUGUUAAAAAGGUUUUUUUUUUGUGCUUUUGGGUGGCAUUUAGGUCAUAUUUUUCGAUACAGCCCUUGGUUGAUAUUCGGACGGUGAACGGCGCGAUUAUCAAAUAAAUACUACAUUUUUUACUGGGCGACUUGAGUGCGCGUACCGAUCUAUAGGUACAUACAUACAUGAUACAUAUAUGGCGCGGCAUAUUAUGUAUACGGUGACGACGGUCGUCAAUGCACGCGCAUGGGUCUGAAAAUCAUACUAUUACUGUCACGCAAAUCACGUGUGACGUGUCCAAGAGAUUUAAUGCGUUUACCGGCGGAGUAUAAGGAAGCAGACUGCCGUGUACGGGAUUGGAAACUUUUCCGAGGCCGUGCGGAAAUCUAUGACAAAAUCGCUCUCUGACGAUACGAGUGAACGGCGAGAAACGUCAAGGAUGAGGAGCUGGCUAUAGUGCUCUCGCGUGGUGCGAACAACGACGAAUUGAUCAUCGGCGGCACAGUCAUAAUGCGACACGCGACGUGACGCUUGUUGCGCUGCGAACAAAUGGUCCGCGGUUGAACGCGGAAUGUCGUGAUUUUAAGUUCCGACUUGUCUGGGCAAAAAACUCAACAUUAAGUUAUGAUAAUGACCACAGACAUAUAACACGUCAUAUUUUUAGUGCAAAAUUUCUUCACAGCGGAAGAAAAAUUAACAGUAAUUUAUUUGAUGAGAUAUAUAUUUCACACAAAAUAUGUUACGACAAAAAAAUUGAAAAAAUAUAUGGUCCACAUAGAUCUGUUCAAACUAUUGUAGUUAGAGGGUUAUUGAGCAAUUGAAAACAACUGAUAUUUUAUAACUACGAUACUGUUAUCACAAAAGAAUUACUUUAUAACAUAAUAGAUACACUUACAUAAAUAUAGUUUUAAUGUAAUCGCUAUUGUGAGUGUUAUGGGUUCUUCAAAUGUUGGAUUGUGGAAAUGUUUGGUAAAGAUUUGGGUGUUUCUAUAACAAUUACAUAAUUUAAACACCCGAUGACUAAUAAAAAUGUAUAUGUGUUUGCUGAUGUGUCGCAUAUGUUUAAACUUGCAAGAAACUAUUUUAUCGAUCAGUAAGUUGUCAAUGAAUAUCUGAAAUCAUAAAAAGUUACUUAACAGUUAUAUUAUAAUAUCACCAUUGUAGGUGCUCGUCUAGAGGGUUCAUUUUACCUAAUGGAAAAUAUAUCGAGAAAAAUAUAUUGCAAUAGUUAAUCAAGUUAAACUAAGGAAAAGAUUUCAAGUUGGCAUACAAGAUUUCUAACCGUCACAUUUCUUUAGAGGGUAUAUCUCGAACGAAUGUACAGUUAGCUGCAAACUUGUUUUCAAAUACAGUUGUGAAAGCCAUAUUGUUUUGUGGAAACAACAAAUACAUUAAUGGUUACAAUUGGAAAGAAGCUUCAGACACUAUAAGUCUAUUUAAUGACUGGUUUGACUUAAUGAAUACCAGUCAAAUGUUUGAUAAAAACACUUCAAGCUAUGGGCUAGAUGAAAAAAACAAACCAAGUUUUUGAACAAAAUGAGUGAAUUUAUAUUAAACAUGAGGGCUCAUGGGAAGAAGUCAAUUCUGCCAUUCCAAAAAGGUAUUGUAAUUUCCAAUACAUUGCUGAUAAAUUUAUUUGGAGAUUUGAAAGAAUAUGAUGUUUCCUACAUUAUUACAAGGAAAUUAAAUUAAGAUAUAGUAGAAAAUCUUUUUAGCUACCUCAAAGGAAUGGUAGAAGCGGCAAAUAACUGUAUAACAGCAUUAGAUUUUAUGUAUUGUCUUAGGUGGUAUAUUUUAAGUAAACACUCCAAUGUUGUGAUUACCGAAAAUAAAAUCACUGAAGAUGGAACAGAUGAGAACAUACUUAACGCUAAUGAAUGUUUAACCGAUGAAAUUAUUGAAUUUACUAAUUUAAUAACAAAAUCUAACCAUCAAUUUCAAGAAAUGGAUAAUGAUUUGGCUCAAAUUGAAACAACUUUUGGAACAAGCAGUGUUCAAAUUUAAAACACUUGUAUGGAAUAUGGAUUUGUUAAGUCAAUUUGAAUCUGAGGCCUUUUGCAUAGAUGACAAUUCAAAGGCCUUGAGAAGGAAGCAAUAUGUUUUAUAUGUAAAAAAAUAUCCUCUAAUGGCAUCGGAUGAGCAAACCACCAAUGAUGAAAAUUGGAUUACAUAUCUGUCCAGAGGGGGGGGGGGUAUCCAUCCAUGCAAUUAAUUCAAGUCGCAAACAUGAUGGAAAAGUUGUUCAUUGAUCAUCAUGGAAAUCAGCUAUCAAAAGAAGGUAUAAUGAAGAAAUUAAUAUAUUCUUUAUUUCUUUAAUAGAAAAAAUUAAACUUACAACACUAGAUGUACCAGUUGAAGUAGUUCGGUGUCGU